rnacentral:rRNA from 1 species
GGCGUGCUUACACAUGCAAGUCGAACGAUGAAGCCCAGCUUGCUGGGUGGAUUAGUGGCGAACGGGUGAGUAACACGUGAGUAACCUGCCCUUUCCUCUGGGAUAACUCCGGGAAACCGGUGCUAAUACUGGAUAUGACUCUUGCCUGCAUGGGUGGGGGUGGAAAGAUUUAUCGGGAUUGGAUGGACUCGCGGCCUAUCAGCUUGUUGGUGGGGUAAUGGCCUACCAAGGCGACGACGGGUAGCCGGCCUGAGAGGGUGACCGGCCACACUGGGACUGAGACACGGCCCAGACUCCUACGGGAGGCAGCAGUGGGGAAUAUUGCACAAUGGGCGGAAGCCUGAUGCAGCGACGCCGCGUGAGGGAUGACGGCCUUCGGGUUGUAAACCUCCUUCAGCUCUGACGAAGCUUUUGUGACGGUAGGAGCAGAAGAAGCACCGGCUAACUACGUGCCAGCAGCCGCGGUAAUACGUAGGGUGCGAGCGUUGUCCGGAAUUAUUGGGCGUAAAGAGCUUGUAGGCGGUUUGUCGCGUCUGCUGUGAAAUCCCGGGGCUUAACUCCGGGCUUGCAGUGGGUACGGGCAGGCUAGAGUAUGGUAGGGGAGACUGGAAUUCCUGGUGUAGCGGUGGAAUGCGCAGAUAUCAGGAGGAACACCGAUGGCGAAGGCAGGUCUCUGGGCCAUUACUGACGCUGAGAAGCGAAAGCGUGGGGAGCGAACAGGAUUAGAUACCCUGGUAGUCCACGCCGUAAACGUUGGGCGCUAGGUGUGGGUCCCAUUCCACGGGGUCCGUGCCGCAGCUAACGCAUUAAGCGCCCCGCCUGGGGAGUACGGCCGCAAGGCUAAAACUCAAAUGAAUUGACGG